rnacentral:miRNA from 1 species
GACGUCGAUAUUCGACGUCAUAAACACGAACAAGUUUGGUGUAUAUGACGUCGAUAUUCGACGUCAUGAACACGAUCAACUUUGGUGUUUAUGACGUCGUUAUUCGACGUCAUAAACAUGAUCAACUUUGGUGUUUAUGACAUCGAUAUUCGACGUCAUAAACAGGAACAAGUUUGGGGUUGAUGACGUCGAUAUUCGACGUCAUAAACACGAACAAGUUUGGUGUUUAUGACGUCGAUAUUCGACGUC